UACGAAGGGGGAGCUAGCGUUGCUCGGAAUCACUGGGCGUAAAGGGUGCGUAGGCGGGUCUUUUAAGUCAGGGGUGAAAUCCUGGAGCUCAACUCCAGAACUGCCUUUGAUACUGAGGAUCUUGAGUUCGGGAGAGGUGAGUGGAACUGCGAGUGUAGAGGUGAAAUUCGUAGAUAUUCGCAAGAACACCAGUGGCGAAGGCGGCUCACUGGCCCGAUACUGACGCUGAGGCACGAAAGCGUGGGUAGCGAACAGG
rnacentral:rRNA from 1 species